GACGAACGCUGGCGGCGUGCUUAACACAUGCAAGUCGAGCGGAGCGGCGAACGGGUGAGUAACGCGUGAGUAACUGCACCCCUCUCUGGGAUAACAGUUGGAAACGGCUGCUAAUACCGGAUAGUGGGGGAUGACUCACGUCCUAUCAGCUUGUUGGUGGGGUCGUUGCCUACCAAGGCGACGACGGGUAGCCGGCAUGAGAGGGCGAACGUCCACAUUUGUCGUAGAUACGGCCCAAACGCCUACGGGAGUCAGCAGUGGUGAAUAUUGCACAAUGGGGGAAACCCUGAUGCAGCAACGCCGCGUGCGGUAUGACGGCCUUCGGGUUGUAAAGUACUUUCAGCGAGGAGGAAGGUUAAUAACCUUGGUGAUUGACGUUACUCGCAGAAGAAGCACCGGCUAACUCCGUGCCAGCAGCCGCGGUAAUAC
rnacentral:rRNA from 1 species